GACGAACGCUGGCGGCGUGCUUAACACAUGCAAGUCGAACGGAAAGGCCCUGCUUUUGUGGGGUGCUCGAGUGGCGAACGGGUGAGUAACACGUGAGUAACCUGCCCUUGACUUUGGGAUAACUUCAGGAAACUGGGGCUAAUACCGGAUAGGAGCUCCUGCUGCAUGGUGGGGGUUGGAAAGUUUCGGCGGUUGGGGAUGGACUCGCGGCUUAUCAGCUUGUUGGUGGGGUAGUGGCUUACCAAGGCUUUGACGGGUAGCCGGCCUGAGAGGGUGACCGGCGACAUUGGGACUGAGAUACGGCCAAGACUCCAACGGGAGGCAGCAGUGGGGAAUAUUGCACAAUGGGCGGAAGCCUGAUGCAGCAACGCCGCGUGCGGGAUGACGGCCUUCGGGUUGUAAACCGCUUUCGCCUGUGACGAAGCGUGAGUGACGGUAAUGGGUAAAGAAGCACCGGCUAACUACGUG
rnacentral:rRNA from 1 species